GACGAACGCUGGCGGCGUGCCUAAUACAUGCAAGUAGAACGCUGAAGAGAGGAGCUUGCUCUUCUUGGAUGAGUUGCGAACGGGUGAGUAACGCGUAGGUAACCUGCCUUGUAGCGGGGGAUAACUAUUGGAAACGAUAGCUAAUACCGCAUAACAAUGGAUGACACAUGUCAUUUAUUUGAAAGGGGCAAUUGCUCCACUACAAGAUGGACCUGCGUUGUAUUAGCUAGUAGGUGAGGUAAUGGCUCACCUAGGCGACGAUACAUAGCCGGCCUGAGAGGGUGAUCGGCCACACUGGGACUGAGACACGGCCCAGACUCCUACGGGAGGCAGCAGUAGGGAAUCUUCGGCAAUGGGGGCAACCCUGACCGAGCAACGCCGCGUGAGUGAAGAAGGUUUUCGGAUCGUAAAGCUCUGUUGUAAGUCAAGAACGGGUGUGAGAGUGGAAAGUUCACACUGAGACGGUAGCUUACCAGAAAGGGACGGCUAACUACGUG
rnacentral:rRNA from 1 species